rnacentral:rRNA from 1 species
GACGAACGCUGGCGGUGUGCUUAACACAUGCAAGUCGAACUGUAAGGCCCUUUCGGGGGUUCACGAGUGUCGAACGGGUGCGUAACACGUGCGUAACCUUCCCUCAUCUCUGGGAUAACAGUCGGAAACGGUUGCUAAUACUGGAUAUGAGCUUUCAAUGCAUCUUGUUGGUUGGAAAGAUUUUUUUUGGUUGGGGAUGGAGUCGCGGCCUAUCAGCUUUUUUGUGGUGUAGUGGCUCACCAAGGCUGCGACGGGGAGCCGGCAUGUGAGGGCGGACGGACACAUUGGGACUGAGAUACAGCCCGAACUCCUGCGGGAGGCAGCAGUGGGGAAUAUUGCACAAUGGACGGAAGUGUGAGGCAGCAAGGCCGCGGGCGGGAUGACGGCCUUCGGGUUGUAAACCGCUGUCAAUUGUGACGAAGCUUUUUUGUGACGGUAGCAGUAGAAGAAGCACCGGCUAACUACGUG